GCAAAAAGAUUAAGACUCUUAGAACUGACAAUGGGCUGGAAUUCUGCCAUAUAGAAUUAGAUCAGUAUUGUGGCAAUCAAGGCAUAUUGAGACAUAAAAUUAUUACCUAUAUACCCUAGCAUAAUGGGAUUUCUGAGAGACCAAAUAGAACUAUCCUUGAGAGGACCAGAUGUAUGCUAAUUAGUUCGGGCAUGCCAAAAAUAUUUUAGGGAGAAGCAGUAAAGACAGCAUGUUACCUAUUGAAUAGAUGCCCUUCUAGUUCCUUAAAUAAUAGAAUCCCUGAGCAGAUUUGGUCUAGUUCUAUGCCUGAUUGCUCCCAUGUUAGGACUUUUGGAUGUGCUGCAUAUGCAAUUAUAAUCACUCAAAAUUGGAUCCUAAGUCACAAAAGUGUGUCUUCUUAGGAUAUGGAGAAAGAGAUAAAUGUUAUAGACUUUGGUUAAGGGAUAUUAGAGGUUAUAAAGUGAUAAUAAGCAGGUCUGUGAUUUUUAAUGAGAAUGAUUUUACAUGUCGUAGUGACAAGAUCAAUGAAAAGAUAAGGGAUGAUGAUUUUAUUAUCACUGAAAUUGACUUAAAUAAGGAAAAUACUAAUGUGCAGGUUCCCCUUGAGGUGGAGCAGCCUCAAACAGAACUUAACAAAAAUCCAGAUGUUGAAAUUUUGAAUGAUAAUCAAGAUUUAAGUGUAAUACAUUAAGUUAAAAAAAAAAGUGAAACACAAAAAAGGGUACAAAAGAUAAAACAAAAGUGGCAGGCAGUGGAAAACUCAUACAAAUCCAAAACCAAUUUAAUAACACACGCACAAGAAAACGGACCAAAGAGAAAGAAGAAGAGAGAAAAGAGAGAAAAAAAAAACGGAAAAAGAAGAGAAAAAAAGGAAAAAUUCGUCAACAUAUUAGGAAUUAAGUGAGUUAUACUAUUAGGUUUGAAUUCCUCAAUUUUGAAAGGUAAGAAAAAGUUACUUAUUGAAAGAUUAUGUUUGAUUUUAUAGUUGUUAGAUUGUUAG
rnacentral:lncRNA from 1 species